UACGUAGGGUGCAAGCGUUAAUCGGAAUUACUGGGCGUAAAGCGUGCGCAGGCGGUUUUGUAAGUCAGAUGUGAAAUCCCCGGGCUUAACCUGGGACUGCGUUUGAAACUACAAGGCUAGAGUGUGGCAGAGGGGGUGGAAUUCCACGGUGUAGCAGUGAAAUGCGUAGAGAUGUGGAGGAACACCGAUGGCGAAGGCAGCCCCUGGGUUAACACUGACGCUCAGGCACGAAGCGU
rnacentral:rRNA from 1 species